GAUGAACGCUGGCGGCGUGCCUAAUACAUGCAAGUCGAGCGAACAGACGAGGAGCUUGCUCCUCUGACGUUAGCGGCGGACGGGUGAGUAAAACGUGGAUAACCUACCUAUAAGACUGGGAUAAUUUCGGGAAACCGGAGCUAAUACCGGAUAAUAUAUUGACCCGCAUGGUUCAAUAGUGAAAGACGGUUUUGCUGUCACUUAUAGAUGGUUCCGCGGCGCAUUAGCUAGUUGGUAAGGUAACGGAUUACCAAGGCAACGAUGCGUAGCCGACCUGAAAGGGGGAUCGGGCGCACUGGAACGUGACCAGCGAUCAGAACCCAGACGGAGGCAAGAGUAAGAGAAGUGGCGGAAGUGGAGGAAAUCCGGCAGGGGGACGACGCGGGAAUGAUGGAGGGAGUGUGAUCGAUAAACGCUGUUAUGAGGGAAGAACAAAUGUGUAAGUAACUAUGCACGUCUUGACGGUACCUAAUCAGAAAGCCACGGCUAACUACGUG
rnacentral:rRNA from 1 species